AUAAUACUCCCUCCGUUCGGAAUUACUUGUCUCGGAAAUGGAUGUAUCUAGAACUAAAAUACGUCUAGAUACAUCCAUUUCUGCGACAAGUAAUUCCGAACGGAGGGAGUAUAAG
rnacentral:pre_miRNA from 1 species